UGUGUUGGGGCUCAGUGGUAGAGCGCUUGCCUAGCACGUGUGAGGCCCUGGGUUCCAUCCUCAGCACCACAG
rnacentral:tRNA from 1 species